rnacentral:lncRNA from 1 species
AAUUUUGAUUUUUUUCUUUUAAUAUUUUCAAAACCUCAACUGAACAAUUCAAUCCAUGCAAUUUCAUGUCUUUGGAUAAAUUGGAUCAUUGCCAAGUCUAAGAUAUUACAAAAUAUGUUCUCAUAGAGGAGCCACCAAAGCCUCAACAGUGGUUACCAUACAGAUGCCUAGCCUGGUCACCAUGGAGACUUCCACGCAGUAGACACCAAUUCUUCUUCCUCUUUCUUCUUGUAAAGAUAGUUCCCAAAGUUGAGCCCUCGAUGACAAAAUGUUGUUGUUGCUUUGUGUUGCUGUUGUUGUAAGUCGUGUUGGUUCACCAUGACAACAUAUUGUUGUUAAAACAGCCAUGUUUUCAGUCGAAAGCAUGGUACCUGGUCAAACUAAGACUUUGAUCACGUGACCACGCUAAUUCAUCAUCAUCAUUUUCAUCAUCUUCAUCAUCAUCAAUAGGAGUUCUCAACUGAACACAUGGUUGCAAUACCUUGGUCUAUAGCUGAACACAUCAAUUGGAGUCUUAAAAAUAAACGAUGGCAACGUCUACUUAGACCUGAAAGUAAACAAAUGUAGUUGAUAAAC